CUUCGACGCUCGCUGUCGCGCUAGUUCCGAUGUGCACGCAUGCCUGUGUUGAGUGCUCAUCGUACAUUCUACACACCAUGUAGACUAUUGUAUGCGACAUGGCUUGGAUUGUGUACGCAGCUGUGCUCGUGCAGUUACCAUCGUCAGCUCUCUCGAAAUGCUAUUACGCUGAUGANNUAACNCACUCGCUCUGACAUGUCAUUCGGGCUUCCUGCGUGAUAANGAUCGACUUGUACUUGCAUGCAGCUUUCGGGACUCUCGCAUGACUUUUGCUUCCAACCACCAAAUCACACUUUGAUCGCUCGACCUCAAUCAGGUAGGACUACCCGCUGAACUUAAGCAUAUC
rnacentral:rRNA from 1 species